AUACGUAGGUGACAAGCGUUAUCCGGAUUUACUGGGCGUAAAGGGCGUGUAGGCGGUCUUGCAAGUCAGAAGUGAAAUUCCUGAGCUCAACUCGGGCGCUGCUUCUGAAACUGCAGGACUUGAGUGCUGGAGGGGAUAGCGGAAUUCCUAGUGGAGCGGUAAAAUGCGCAGAUAUUAGGAAGAACACCGGUGGCGAAGGCGGCUAUCUGGACAGUAGCUGACGCUGAGGCGCGAAAGCGUGGGGAGCAAACAGGAUUAGAUACCCUGGUAGUCCACACCGUAAACGAUGAGCACUAGGUGUCGGGCUCGCAAGAGUUCGGUGCCGCAGUUAACGCAUUAAGUGCUCCGCCUGGGGAGUACGUACGCAAGUAUGAAACUCAAAUGAAUUGACGGGG
rnacentral:rRNA from 1 species